rnacentral:misc_RNA from 1 species
GAUGAAGAACGUAGCGAAAUGCGAUAAGUAAUGUGAAUUGCAGAAUUCAGUGAAUCAUCGAAUCUUUGAACGCACAUUGCGCCCGCCGGCACUCCGGCGGGCAUGCCUGUCCGAGCGUCAUUUCAACCCUCAGGACCCCCUUCCGGGGGGACCUGGUGCUGGGGACCAGCGGCCUCUGGGCCCCUGCCCCCCAAAUACAGUGGCGGUCGCGCCGCAGCCUCCCCUGCGUAGUAGCACACCUCGCACCGGAGAGCGGCUCGGCCACGCCGUGAAACCCCCAAUUUUUCAAGGUUGACCUCGGAUCAGGUAGGAAUACCCGCUGAACUUAAGCAUAUCAAUAAGCGGAGGA